rnacentral:rRNA from 1 species
GACGAACGCUGGCGGCGUGCUUAACACAUGCAAGUCGAACGGUGAAAGGGAGCUUGCUCCCUGGAUCAGUGGCGAACGGGUGAGUAACACGUGGGCAACCUGCCCCAGACUUCGGGAUAACGCUUCGAAAGAGGUGCUAAUACCGGAUACGAACUCCUUAGGCAUCCUUGGAGUUGGAAAGUUUUUCGGUCUGGGAUGCGCCCGCGGCCUACCAGCUUGUUGGUGAGGUAACGGCUCACCAAGGCGACGCCGGGUAGCCGGCCUGAGAGGGCGACCGGCCACACUGGGACUGAGACACGGCCCAGACUCCUACGUGAGGCAGCAGUGGGGAAUAUUGCGCAAUGGGCGAAAGCCUGACGCAGCAACGCCGCGUGAGGGAUGACGGCCUUCGGGUUGUAAACCUCUUUCAGCAGGGAAGAAGCGAAAGUGACGGUACCUGCAGAAGAAGCACCGGCUAACUACGUGCCAGCCGCCGCAGUAA